AAUCUGGUCGAGCGUGUGUCACGGCCGACACGGCGCACCGGUGCGAGAGAAGGAGUAUAGAAGAGGAGGAGGCGUCGUCGCGAGAAAAUCAUUUCGAAUUACGUAGCGGCGCGAGGCGAUUCCAUCUCCGGACAGCGUAUGGCAACGUAGAGGAUCGUUUCGCCGUUGUGCAAUGUCGUCUUACGCAUUAUACGGGAGGCCCCCCGGCGUAUAGAUUGACCGCGAUCGCGCGGCAAGAUUGGGAUAAUGAAGUUGCGCUUACGUGAAAACUACCGGAAUAGAGCCGCGGAAUAAAUGCGCGUAUACGGGUUCGAGUUAUUACAUCGCUGUCACGUUUUACCGCACCGGCCUGGUCUCGCUCCUCGACACGUACGACUGUGUUUGAGAGCGAGGCACAACUCCACGCGAGUGACACUUAUCGCGACGGUUUAUCGUCGUACCUUAUCGCGCGAAAUUGCCGUGGAGAUGCGCUUCGGAGUCUCGCGGGUGUUCUGAGAAAGGGUAAUGAGCGCGUCGUAAAUCCAUACACGAUGCCUUCAAUCAAAAAUGUACGAAAGAGAUUUCCAGGACGUCUUACCGACACCCGAGAUCACGCCGUCCCGCUUCUCAUCGCGAGAUGUCAGUUAACGAACUACGAUCUUGCAAAUAGGAUGCUAUGCAAAUGAUCUUGCCGUUCUACAUGGAUUAUGGUGGAUAAGUGCCGUCGGAAUCAGAAACUUCCUUCCUUGUUGAUGUAACCCCAUUAACAUAAGGUAAUGAAGAAAAUGGGUGUAAAUAAGAAAAAAACAAGUAGGAUGUUAAAUUAGCGCAUGAUAGGCCGUACAUAAUGUUUCACUACACAAUCUAUGAUACAAUCUAUCUUCUAAAACUGAACAGCGAUUAUGAAAUUUUAUGUCUUGAUUAUCUUAUGAGUAUAUUACAUCUCAUAGAUGCUCGGAAAUUCAUAAAAUAGCUAAUAUUCUUUGUACGUAUAAUCGAAAGUUUUAACGGAACAAAUACAAAACUUCAGAAGAA